rnacentral:rRNA from 1 species
UACGUAGGGUGCGAGCGUUAAUCGGAAUUACUGGGCGUAAAGGGUGCGCAGGCGGCGUCGCAAGUCAGGCGUGAAAUCCCCGGGCUUAACCUGGGAACUGCACUUGAAACUACAAUGCUGGAGUAUGGCAGAGGGAGGUGGAAUUCCACGUGUAGCGGUGAAAUGCGUAGAGAUGUGGAGGAACACCGAUGGCGAAGGCAGCCUCCUGGGCCAAUACUGACGCUCAUGCACGAAAGCGUGGGGAGCAAACAGG